UCUCCGUUGGUGAACCAGCGGAGGGAUGAUUACAGAGUUUAUUAUAACUCCUAAACCCAUGUGAACCUACCUUCUGUUGCCUCGGCAGGCAAGUCGUCUCUUGCUACCCUAUAGGACCCUAUCUUGUAAGACGUUACCUUAUAAGGUCCUAUCCGGUAGAGAGAUGCGGUACUCCCUGCCGCUGGACUGAAAAAAAAAUUCUGUUUAAUAAAUGGUAUUCUGGAUCAUUAUAUGGAAAUUAAGUUAAAACUUUCAACAACGGAUCUCUUGGUUCUG
rnacentral:misc_RNA from 1 species